ACCCUAAGGUCAGCUGAAAUCAAAUCAGAGCAAUUGAUAAGUCAGAAAUGCUCAAAAUUUAUGGUUAAGAUAAAAUAGACUGUAAUAAACUUAAUGAAAACAAAAAGACAUAAAAAAAAAGAUGCUUCUUAUAAAAUAUAUAUUUGAGAUCAUUGCUCAUGGAUUCAAACUUAUGUGAAUUGUGUUGACCAAUUAGAGAAUUUAAUGAUUUCAUUACCAUCAUAAAUAUGGCCAUAAACUGAAAACUACCUGUAGCUAUUUCUAUCACAUUAUUAAAAAAAAGUCAUACCAAAUGAAAGUUUAAUAUGAUCAUCUAUUAAUUUCUUCAGGUGGGUUGACACAAGGCACAAGUGAAUAAGCAAAUUCUAGUGAAUGCUUGUCUAUUUGUUAGUGUUCAUGAUUGGAACAUUUAUACCAUCUGUAAAGGUACUUAGAUGCCGGGCCACAUUUAUACUUUUGGAGGCCCAAGAUGCAAUAUCAUUAUGAGGCCCCAAAAUAACAAGUCUAUUUCAAUUUUGAAUUUAAUAUUUAAAAAUAAGUGCCAGGUACUUUAUUUUGCAACUAUAACUAGGCUGCUUUUUAUAUUGUUGUUUGCGAGGAGUAAGGUUUUAAAAUGUAGCCCCAUAGAGACUGAGGCUCCAGCUUGUGCCUAAUGUGCCUUAUGAUAAAUGCAGCCCUGCUUAAGUGGUAUAUCAGUG
rnacentral:lncRNA from 1 species